AACGAACGCUGGCGGCAGGCUUAACACAUGCAAGUCGAACGCGUGUAGCAAUACACGAGUGGCGCACGGGUGAGUAACGCGUGGAUACCUGCCUUUUGGUUCGGAAUAACUCCGGGAAACUGGAGCAAAUACCGGAUGGUUCCUUCGGGAUAAAGAUUUAUCGCCGAAAGAUGAGUCCGCGUAGGAUUAGCUAGUUGGUGAGGUAGUGGCUCACCAAGGCGACGAUCGUUAGCUGGUCUGAGAGGACGAUCAGCCACACUGGGAAUGAGACACGGCCCAGACUCCUACGGGAGGCAGCAGUGGGGAAUAUUGGACAAUUGGGGCAACCCUGAUCCAGCCAUGCCGCGUGAGUGAUGAAGGCCUUCGGGUUGUAAAGCUCUUUUGGCGGGGACGAUGAUGACGGUACCCGCUGAAUAAGCCCCGGCUAACUUCGUGCCAGCAGCCGCCGCAGUAA
rnacentral:rRNA from 1 species